CAGGAGGUAGUUUAAGUAGAAUACCAGCUUUGGGUGCUGAUGGUGAGACGUUAGUCUUUCUCUUGA
rnacentral:tRNA from 1 species